CUGCCCCUGCACCUAUAUAGGAUGCAAACACUAAAAUUAGUUAUCUCGUGCCAAAUCUAAUUUUAUCUCUGUAAAUUUUACAAGCAUAAUCAUAAAAUAAGUAAUACAGGAAGUGCAAGAAAUGGAGCAUACACAAUUUAAUAUUAGCUCAGAUG